rnacentral:lncRNA from 1 species
AAAUUUUGCAGGAGAUUUUUUGGGCAUAGAUCCGAUCCCAAAUCUCUGUCAAAUCUCGAGGCACAGUUUCCUAGCCCAUGUUCUCUUUCUUGAUACAUCAAAAGGGAGAUAUUUUCUCCUGUUUCGUUUACAAAUAAAGAUCCAUAAAUCUUCUGCCGAUUUUGAGGAUUCAAGGACGAUUUGAGGAUUCAAGGACGAAGAAAGAGGAGCAAAGGAGGUAACUUUUUUUUUUUUUUUUUUGUGUUUGAUUCUAUUUUUAAUCUUCAAACAGAUAUUUUUCAACGGUUUCGUUCCUCUCUAGCAGUAACUUUAUUGAGCCAAAAUAUUUUUUAUUUUUUUUAACGCUUUUUGUUUGCACUUGCUAUUUCAAUGGAGAAAGAUUUGUUUUUUUUCAGUUUUUUUUUUUUACUCCCUCGGGGUUCGCCCAAUUUUUUUAAUGACGGAAGAGAAGAAACAGAAAAAUGGGACUUUUUUUUUUUUUUGACACCUAUCGCAGUUAUUUGGACAAUUAAGCAAAGAUCAGGCCCCCAAAAUCUAGUAACUUCCAUCCAUGACCAUCGGUAACUUUUUUUUUUAAUUUUUCUAAUUUUUUUGGCUGUUGUGAUGCACUACAAAAGAAUGGGCUAAACCCUUAAACGUUAAUCAGUCUUUUAAUUUUUAUUCCCCUUUUCAAGACACCGUGUAUUCUCCUCUCCUACUCAUAUAUCUGAUUUUCAUUGUUGUUUAUUAUCCUGAGAAUAGAGAGUCCUCUUCUCUGGUGUUACAAUAAUCCAUGAAUCUUUUCUAUUUCACUGCGGUUUAAUCCAUAUUGAUAUUAUCAUUUUUUCCCCAAAUCUAGAGAGAGAAAAUUAUCUACUGGAACCCCAUAUGUUGUUGUUUGUUUGCUAUUUGGGUAUUAUCUGAUGAGAAGGGUUGGAAGGAUUAUUGAUUGAGCUGAAUUCACAUUGAGGCUUCUUCCAUUCAUUGGUUGUUGUAUUUUUUUUCUUGAGCUGUAUUUUUGAUAAUCCACACUAUCACCCAGUGAGAUCGCAACUAUAAACUAGAUUUAAUUUUGUUUAAUUUAUAUUUUUCUAUCAUAAUGGAUCUCAAACUAGAAUUGAAGAUAGAAAGACUCAAUGGGCUGAAUUAUAAUACGUGGAAAAGAAGAUUAGCCUUGAUCUUCGAGCAUGAAAAUUUAUUAUUUUAACUGUAGUUCUUACUGAACCCACUGAUGUUAGCAAUAAGGCAGGAAGAUCAGCAUAUGCUAAUUGGGAAGAAAGAAAAUAAGAGAUGUAACAAUACAAUUUUGAGAAAUAUGGAUGAUGAAUUAUUAUUGAGUUUUGAUGAAUUUAAAAAUGCCAAAGAUAUUUAUGAUGAAUUGGAGAUACAAUUUGGGGUGACUUCAAUGAGUAAUUUAAGAGUAUUGACUCAAUAGUACUAUUUUUUUAAGAUGAAAGAAAAUGACUCUGUAGUUGAUUGUUGUGAAAACAACUUAUAAGUGCGGGUUAUGCUUUGAAUGAUCAACAACAAGUUUUAACUAUACUAAAUAGUUUGCCUAAUUCUUGGGAAUGUGUUGUGACUACUUUAUCUUUAAACCUCAAGGAUCUUACACUUCAAAAUCUUGCUGUUGAUUUGAUAUCUGAAGGGGAUCGUAGAUCUUCAAAGAGGGUUGAUGCACUUCGCAUUGCUCAAUCUCAAAACCCUCGAAAUGGAGAAUCCUUCAACAAAAGAAAACAUUACCAACCUUGGAACAAUAAUAAAAGGUAGAAUGUUGAAAAUAAAAACAAGAAGCCUAUGCGCAAUGGAUCCAAGAGGGUAUGUUUCAUUUGUGGGAAGAUGAGACACUUUAAAUACCAAUGCCCAAACAAGGAGGCACCCAAGACACCCAACCAAGGUGUGACUACUUGCGUGUAGUAGUUUAUUGUUUAAUAGCUAAUGUGCCAAUUGAUGAUUGGUGGGUGGACUCUGGGGCCACUAAACACAUAUCCAGGUCUAGAGAGGGCUUUGUGGAACUUAAAGAACUUAAACUUAGGGAACAUGUCAUCUCUAUGGGCAAUGAUUCUAAGUAUGAUGUAUUAGGUAUUGGCACUUAUAAAUUAGCUAUCUCAAAUGGGAACUUUUUGCUCUUUUCAAAUACUCUUUAUGCUCCUUACAUGCGUUGUAACUUGCUGUUAGUCAGGAGGCUUGAUGCCAAGGGAUAUGAAGUUCGUUUCAAGGAUGGAAAAGUUUCAAUUGGGAUUAUUAGAAAAAUCAUUGUAUAGGGGAAAGCUCGAG